rnacentral:lncRNA from 1 species
AUGUCCCCCCCGGGCCGUGCUUGGAAGUGGCCUGGUGCUGCCCAAAUGCACACCAGGAGCGCUGCAACAGCUCGCUGUCACCGGCGGUUGUGUUCUGUGCUCUCGAGGGAGUCUCCGGACACAGCUCAAUCCUCAAUGCCCAGAGAAGCUGUGGAUGCCCCACCCCUGGAGGCGCUCAAGGCCGGGCUGGAUGGGGCCCUAGGCAGCUCCAAACGGGGAGAACUCCCCCACCUCGCAGCCCGCUUCCCUCAGCGCCGAGCACGGCUCCCUCCCUCCAUCCCUUCCCGAACGGCUCCAGGCCGCGCCGCCCCGCCCAGGAAGCGCCCUUUGCCCGCGGAGCAGGAAGCGGGGCGGCGCCGGGCGGCAGCGGGCGUCCUGCAGGUAGGCGCGGGGCGGCUGGCUCGGGGCGGCAGCGGAGCGCUGGGCCGGGAGAGGGCAGCCCGGGUAGGAAGCUCCGGCAGAGCCUUUGUCUGUCGGCACCGUGGAGGAAGGACCUGCCCGGAGAAGAGACAGAAAGGAGAAGGGGAGGGCCGGCUGUCCUUUUUGUACUCCUCUCUCCGCUUCAGCCGCCGUCCCUGUGUGCUCGCGUGCCUUGCUUGUAACGCGGUUCCCCCGUCCCAUCCCUUUUCACCUGCCUUAGGCAGAAGCAUCUCCUUGCCCAGUUUCCACCCGCCGCUUCCGAUCCCUGUUGCACACAGGCAGCCUCGUACUCUGCUCCCGUUCCCCAAAGCUCCACGGCUCCCUCUUGUCCUGCGCACCCCUGUCUGGGUGCCGUGGCAGUGGCCUGCCCCAUCCUCCUGCCCGUCCCAGCGCAUCAGCCCGCGCUUCACGGACGGCAUCGCUGUACGUCAGGGACAGGGCACAGGCUGCCCAGGGCUGUGGGCACGACCCCACGUACCGGUGUUCAGGGAGUGCUUGGACACCGCUUUCAGACAUAGGGUUUGGAAUUUGGGUGGUCCUGUGUGGAGUCCAGAGUUGGACUCGGUAAUUCUUGUGGGGCCCCUUCCAGCGUGGGGUAUUCACACCUUGUUCUGA